rnacentral:misc_RNA from 1 species
AAAGUCGUAACAAGGUUUCCGUAGGUGAACCUGCGGAAGGAUCAUUGCAAAACCCGUUCGCAGGUGGCGCAAGCCGCCUGUGAACAAAACAAGGUCGUCUGGGGAUAAAUCCCUGGAUUACGCAAGCGCGUAUCCGUGUGGCAGUCUGAACAUUCAAUAAUUACAAAACUUUUAACAAUGGAUCUCUUGGCUCUU